rnacentral:lncRNA from 1 species
GCUAGGGAAGGCCGAAGGGAAAUCGGGACGUGGGCACGUGCCAGCUGUAGUUGAGGUGGGUAUGUCCAGCGCUGCCCUCAGCAGCCUCCAUGCAGGAAGGCACAUCCAUCUCUGUCUGGGCUACUGCUACAUCCUCUUAUGCAGUGCUUCAAGGCUGAGGUGGAAUGCCGCAUAAGGUAAAGGUAGCUGUCUUUGUUUAACAUCACACUGCAUCCGAAGUGUGUAUGGCGGUUUUGUAAAGGAUUUACGUGACUCCUUGUAGUUUCUAGGGGGCAGCACAAAAUUGUGGUUUUGAGUUACAGAAUCCUUUGUGUUGUGGGUCUGGUCAGCUUUCCAGCCAUCUCUGCCUAGAGCUGUCAUCCAGAAGUGUGUGGAUCCUUCUGUUUUUACAUACUGACGGCUCAUUGAAACCUCGUUACUAGAAACUACUUUUAUCCUGCUCUAAAGAGACUUAAUGGUUUUUGCAGAUGUGUCACAGAACCAUGGAAUGGUUUGGGUAGGAAGGGGCGUUAAGGAUCAGCUAGUUCUACACCCCUGCCAUAAGCAAUAAGCUGAAACUUCACGCGAGCUGUUUUGCUGAGGUGUUUUGUUGAUGGGGUAGGAGUGAAGACAGGGAACAUGCAUCUGGUUUUAGUGUUUGAUGAUGUGUCAUAUUAUUGGACUCCAAACAAGCACGUUUACCAUUUCUAUGUACCCGGAAUCAUUACUGGUCUCAUGUCUAUAGCCCAGUCUAUAGGAGAAAACAGUCAAUGAAUGCAGUGUGCUCAGGCUCUUAAAAGAUAGAAGGUGGAAGCAGCCACAGAUAUGGACGCCAGGCCUCUCAGUGGAACAGCUGGAUUGAAAAAAAUUCAGGGAAAAUGGAGCAUUUCAUGAAUGACUGAGAGCCAUCAUAGUUGCAUUAGCGCACAAGUUGCCUAGCGAAGUGAACUCAAACAAAGCCGAUUUCAGUAAAGACAAACUGGUGCUGAACAGUCGCCUGGACAGCAACUGCAACAAUUUAAUGCCUUUGAGAGAAAAAGUGACUUUUUUUUUCUUUUUUUUUAAAGGACUUCAUCCUAUGGAAGGAAGGGAAUAAUUCAGAGAUCAGGAAAAACCAGAAAUGGCUGCCUUGCCUGUGAAGGAGACCGGGCUAAAAUUCCUUGAGAUCUGUCUAGGCCCCUCUUCCAGCA